CCAAUAGCGUAUAUUAAAGUUGUUGCGGUUAAAAAGCUCGUAGUUGAAUUUCGGGGUCUGUCCGUCGGUCGGGCUUCACAGUCCGUACUGGUGUGAUGGGUUCCUACCUUCUGAAUAACCGGCAUGCCAUUCAGUUGGUGCGCCGGGGGAGCAGAGCUAUUACCUUGAAAAAAUUAGAGUGCUUAAAGCAGGCUAGUGCUUGAAUAGAUUAGCAUGACAUAAUAAAAUAGGACGGCAUGGUUCUAUUUUGUUGGUUUCUAGGAUCACCGUAAUGAUUAAUAGGGAUAGUUGGGGGCAUUAGUAUUCAAUUGUCAGAGGUGAAAUUCUUGGAUUUAUUGAAGACUAACUUCUGCGAAAGCAUUUGCCAAGGAUGUUUUCAUUAAUCAAGAACGAAAGUUAGGGGAUCGAAGACGAUCAGAUACCGUCGUAGUCUUAACCAUAAACUAUGCCGACUAGGGAUCGGACGAUGUUAAUUUUUUAAUGACUCGUUCGGCGCCUUACG
rnacentral:rRNA from 1 species